rnacentral:tRNA from 1 species
GACUAGGUAGCUCAGUGGCAGAGCGGUUGGCUAGGAACCAACUGGUCGUGGGUUCGAGUCCCACCCUGGUCU